rnacentral:misc_RNA from 1 species
GGGAGAGGCGUGAAAGGCGUGAGAAACAUGAAAAGUAUGAGAAGAGACACUCUCGUGAUUCCAAUGAUAGGAAGAAACGGAGUAGAGACAAAGAAAGGGGAAGACAUGACUCUGAUUGAAAAUGAGGAACAUGGUCUACACCAUGCCAUAUACUCUGUUAACUUGACGUGGGACGAACCAAUCCAUUACUAGAAAUUCAUCGAGUGUGUGCCAACUGAUAAUUUGCUCUGCAUCUACAUUCCAUGCAUUAAUAGUAGUUCUGUAAGGUCAAAAUCCUCAAUGUUUGAUUAUAUUAUCGUUCUUUCUCUGAUAUCAAGUUAUAGGUACAGUUUUUCAACCUCC